rnacentral:rRNA from 1 species
UACUAGAGUAGCACUCGCAUAUCAAUAAGCGGAGGAAAAGAAACUAACAAGGAUUCCCCUAGUAACGGCGAGUGAAGCGGGAAGAGCUCAAAUUUGAAAUCUUAAAGGGUUUCCCUUUACGAAUUGUAGUUUAAAGAAGUGUUUUCUGUUGAGGUUUUGGUAAAAGUUCUUUGGAAUAGGACAUCAUAGAGGGUGAGAAUCCCGUAUUUGACCUUUACUUUCAACUUUGUGAUACACUUUCAAAGAGUCGGAUUGUUUGGGAAUGCAGUCCAAAAUGGGUGGUAAAUUUCAUCUAAAGCUAAAUAUUGGCGAGAGACCGAUAGCGAACAAGUACCGUGAGGGAAAGAUGAAAAGAACUUUGAAAAGAGAGUUAAACAGUACGUGAAAUUGUCAAAAGGGAAGCGUUUGACACCAGUGUUGUUUUUCUGAAAAUCAAUUAAAGAACUGUUUAUGCUAAGCUGUUUAGACUUUAUCAGCUAUCUGUUUAGUUUUGAGCUUUUCUUUAAUGCACUCUUCAGUUAACAAGUCAACAUCAAUUUCUUUUGCUGUAAAAAAGCUUGAGGAAGGUGGCUUGAGAUUCGUCUUAAGUGUUUAUAGCCUCUUGCCUAUGCAGUCGGAGAGAUUGAGGUCUGCAGCGUAGAUCCUUCGGGGCUAAAUGCAUUUGUGCUAAGUUAUAGCAUUUCAUAGACAACUUGUUGACUAUGAUUUGUCUUGUAGCUUACUCGCUUAUGUUAUUUUACCUACGCUUAGGAUGUUGAAGACUCUACAGAGAUA